rnacentral:rRNA from 1 species
GAUGAACGCYGGCGGCGUGCYUAACACAUGCAAGUCGAACGAAGCACUUGUAUUUGAUUCUUCGGAUGAAGAUACUUGUGACUGAGUGGCGGACGGGUGAGUAACGCGUGGGUAACCUGCCUCAUACAGGGGGAUAACAGUUAGAAAUGGCUGCUAAUACCGCAUAAGCACACAGUGUUGCAUGACACAGUGUGAAAAACUCCGGUGGUAUGAGAUGGACCCGCGUCUGAUUAGCUGGUUGGUGGGGUAACGGCCUACCAAGGCGACGAUCAGUAGCYGACCUGAGAGGGUGACCGGCCACAUUGGGACUGAGACACGGCCCAAACUCCUACGGGAGGCAGCAGUGGGGAAUAUUGCACAAUGGGGGAAACCCUGAUGCAGCGACGCCGCGUGAGCGAAGAAGUAUUUCGGUAUGUAAAGCUCUAUCAGCAGGGAAGAAGA